UACCAGCACCCCGAGUGGUCGGGACGAUUAUUGGGCCUAAAGCAUCCGUAGCCGGUUCUUUAAGUCCUCCGUUAAAUCCACCUGUUUAACAGAUGGGCUGCGGAGGAUACUAUAGAGCUAGGAGGCGGGAGAGGCAAGCGGUACUCAGUGGGUAGGGGUAAAAUCCGUUGAUCCAUUGAAGACCACCAGUGGCGAAGGCGGCUUGCCAGAAUGCGCUCGACGGUGAGGGAUGAAAGCUGGGGGAGCAAACCGG
rnacentral:rRNA from 1 species